rnacentral:rRNA from 1 species
UACGGAGGGUGCAAGCGUUGUCCGGAUUUAUUGGGUUUAAAGGGUGCGUAGGCGGCUUAUUAAGUCAGGGGUGAAAGACUGCAGCUCAACUGUAGCAGUGCCUUUGAUACUGAUGAGCUUGAGUACAGAUGAGGCCGGCGGAAUGGGUGGUGUAGCGGUGAAAUGCAUAGAUACCAUCCAGAACACCGAUUGCGAAGGCAGCCGGCUAAACUGUAACUGACGCUGAGGCACGAAAGCGUGGGGAUCGAAC